UUUGUAUGAUGUGAUCAGCAUUAUUGUAGGCUACUUGCUCUCAUUCGACUUCUAUAUUAAACGAGUAAAGCAAGUAAGUUUUUCAUGAUCAUGGUAGAGGCUGCCUACUCUAAAUGUUUGAGUGAUUUGUUAAUCACAAACAAGCCUCAAUGUAAUUAAAUGUUUUCUUCCCAACUUUUAAUUCAAAUUCUAAAAGAUUUCAGUAAUCUGAUAUUAUUAUAGUUUUGCAUGGUGUAAAUUUGUUGAGUUUGAUAUACUUUCUCCACAGACGUGGGAGUGCAGAGUGCAAGACAUCAGCGUCAUUGAGGUCUCUCUUACAGAAGCAUUACAGGUUAGCUCAUGGUUACUUUUGCGGUAGACACCCAUACCUAUGUGCAUAAUUAUUCUCAUUGUCCCUGUUUAUUAUAAGCAUGGAAUGCUCUUCAUAGUCACUGAAGCAGAUAUCAUACUUAGAUCAAUGUUUUCUGUAUGCUAAUUGUAAUUCUUUCUACAAAUGCUGGGUUGUUUUGUACAUUCUUUCUGUCCCCUCUACCCUCGUAUGGUUCAAGAUGUGCAGAAUUUCACACGCAUUGUGCAACUGAAGUCCAAGUUUAUGCCAGAGCUUGACAUCUGCUCCAGGCUGUCUGCUGAGUGCCAUAGGAAGGGAGGAGAAACAAGACAUAAGAUUAAGGAGAUCAUGGCUGCCAUUGAUCGGAAUCCUAUCAUUGGCUCGUUGAGAGUUUGCCACCUGCAAGCACUUGUUGUGUACUUGAAGGCCCUGAGAAACUCAAAGGAAUACCUGAGCUGCCAGGACUGGUGUCAUCACUGAAAGCGGUCAUAAACAACAUGGCAGAUUCAUUUAUUUCCUCCAGCCAAAGCGACUCACCACGCACUAGCAGUGAGACUUGCAGUGAGGACAUGGUAUUAUGACUGAAGGACCUUGAACCGAUCCCUCAUUAGCAUUGUGCAGGCCCUCCAUGAUUUUGUGAUCUUGCACGUUCACCAAUUCAUGCAAAUUCAGGGACUUUGCUGCAUUUGCGUGUUGUAAUAUUCAAUAAAUGUGAAUGGUGAUGUGUAGUUAUGUUCCUGUUAUUGUGUUAUUAGCAUUAUAUAUCCUUUGCUUGAAUUAUGUAUUUUUGUAAUUUUAUUGUAAUAAAGUUCCCUUUCUGAAA